CAGCUUGCUGACUGCUGUUCUAGACCCUCCUCCAGAAGCAGCCUACAGUACUAACCCAUCUGAGCAGGAGUGACAUCAGUGGGGUAAGGAAGCUUCACAAUAACUGUAUGAGAUCAGUUAAGAAGAGGCAAUGGCAACCAUAAUUAGGUCUAUGCAACAUCACUACUGAGGUCCUUCUCCUUGCCGCCCUCCCCAGGGCUCCCUACACCCUGUCUCAGGUUCCGUCACCUUGGCAAGGAAAGGAGCUUCCCUCCAUAACUUCCAUCUUUUCUUCAGGACAUGCAGAUGGCUAUGUACAUGGAUCCAGAAAAUUCCAGGUCAGCUGAAGCCCUUCAAAGUAGCCCUGGUGGAACAAGCUAGGACAGCUCCAGUGGCUGUGCCACACCCCUCUGGGAGGCCCCUCUCAAGUGAGGCUCCCAAGCACACGUCUAGGACCCUGCCAGCAGAAAGCCAUUGCUCACAACAUCUCCAGCUCUGUAAUAAAUUCUUUAUCAUAACA